rnacentral:rRNA from 1 species
CACGCAGGCGGUCCGUUAAAUGAGGAGUGAAAGCCCUGGGCUCAACCCGGGAAUUGCUCUUCAGACUGGCGGACUCGAAUCCAGAAGAGGGUAGUGGAAUUCCCAGUGUAGAGGUGAAAUUCGUAGAUAUUGGGAAGAACACCAGUGGCGAAGGCGACUGCCUGGUCUGGCAUUGACGCUCAUGUGCGAAAGCGUGGGGAGCAAACAGGAUUAGAUACCCUGGUAGUCCACGCCGUAAACGAUGAGUGCUAGUUGUUGGGGUGCAUGCACUUCAGUGACGCAGCUAACGCAUUAAGCACUCCGCCUGGGGAGUACGGCCGCAAGGUUAAA